CCUACGGGAGGCAGCAGUGGGGAAUUUUGGACAAUGGGCGCAAGCCUGAUCCAGCAAUGCCGCGUGCAGGAUGAAGGCCUUCGGGUUGUAAACUGCUUUUGUACGGAACGAAACGGUCUGCCCUAAUACGGUGGGCUAAUGACGGUACCGUAAGAAUAAGCACCGCAU
rnacentral:rRNA from 1 species